GUAAGUAAGAAAUGAUUCUGAUUGUUAUUUUAUAUCCAUGCUGUAUGUCUUCCUUCAUAAAUACCUAUUCAUACUGUGGUUAUACAAGUAAUCGGAAGACAUCAGUGAAAGUCUGAAAAAAAAGAAAGAAAAAAGCAGAAACAGAAAAACGUCUUCUCCAUCUGCUAAUGCAACGCCUGAUGGUAUUUCUGGUCGCUGCUUUGCUACUAUAGGGCACUUUCAUAGCUCGGCUUCCCACCCGGGGCCUUGCAGUCAGGCGGCUUGAGUUUACACUCAUCUCCCCUUCUCACCAGCAUUUUGACCGCAGGCGGAUUCUUUACCAGCUGAGCCACCAGGGAAGCCCAAGAAUACUGGAGUGGGCAGCCUAUCCCUUCUGCAGGGGGUCUGAACCGGGAUCUCCUGCAUCGCAGGCGGAUUCUUUACCAGCUGAGCCGCUGUAACUAUGGAACCUAAAUAGCUUAUAGAUGGUGCAAAAAACGACCUUUGCAAACCCAAACUGCUGCUGCUGAUGGUGUAAUUGCUUCUGGGAAUCCAGUGUGAGAAUCUGACGCAGAGAAGCAUGUGAACAGUGAGCGGUUUCACCACCAUUUCCCACACUCGUCCACACUGUGAUCCACAGGCUGCCCUGAGACACGUCCUUGCGUUUCAAGCAUCUUUGAAAACCCCAGCUUGCCCACCGCCAGUUUCCUUUCAGACCUCUUGAUUUAACACUUUGAAGGGGCCGGACUAACCUGCCAUCUACAAAGAAAGAGAAUGAAUUCCGCCUAAGAGACACAAAUCCUCUGGAAUGAUCCUUCACCUGACAGCUCUCCAAACAACUGAAGCG
ensembl:lncRNA